AAAGAGAACAGAUUAUUUUUGUUUCUUUUUCUUUUUCCUUUUGAAUUAAAAUCUAUUUUAUUAAAUGGCAUAUUAAAAAUUAAUGGCAAACUUGUGGUUAAUACUUCUUUUUUUUUAUUUUUUUUUAAUUGAAUGUUAAAUUUAAUUCAAAAGAAAAAGUUCUUUGCUUUACAUCAAGUGUAACUUGCUAUAGAAGAAACAAAAUCAAGACUUAUAUUCCUCAAACUCCUAACUUUCUUCUCCAAUCCAUCCUCAAAAGAUCUUCAUCUUGUGCUAAACCAAUAGACCAUACCUCCCUCAUACUCCUUAUCCCCUC
rnacentral:lncRNA from 1 species